rnacentral:rRNA from 1 species
AGCGGCGGACGGGUGAGUAAUGCUUAGGAAUCUGCCUAUUAGUGGGGGACAACAUUCCGAAAGGAAUGCUAAUACCGCAUACGUCCUACGGGAGAAAGCAGGGGACCUUCGGGCCUUGCGCUAAUAGAUGAGCCUAAGUCGGAUUAGCUAGUUGGUGGGGUAAAGGCCUACCAAGGCGACGAUCUGUAGCGGGUCUGAGAGGAUGAUCCGCCACACUGGGACUGAGACACGGCCCAGACUCCUACGGGAGGCAGCAGUGGGGAAUAUUGGACAAUGGGGGGAACCCUGAUCCAGCCAUGCCGCGUGUGUGAAGAAGGCCUUAUGGUUGUAAAGCACUUUAAGCGAGGAGGAGGCUACUAGUAUUAAUACUACUGGAUAGUGGACGUUACUCGCAGAAUAAGCACCGGCUAACUCUGUGCCAGCAGCCGCGGUAAUACAGAGGGUGCGAGCGUUAAUCGGAUUUACUGGGCGUAAAGCGUGCGUAGGCGGCCAUUUAAGUCAAAUGUGAAAUCCCCGAGCUUAACUUGGGAAUUGCAUUCGAUACUGGAUGGCUAGAGUAUGGGAGAGGAUGGUAGAAUUCCAGGUGUAGCGGUGAAAUGCGUAGAGAUCUGGAGGAAUACCGAUGGCGAAGGCAGCCAUCUGGCCUAAUACUGACGCUGAGGUACGAAAGCAUGGGGAGCAAACAGGAUUAGAUACCCUGGUAGUCCAUGCCGUAAACGAUGUCUACUAGC